GGUCUGCAGGAGGCUCAGGCACUAGCAAGGAAUGAGAGGCUGGCGGGCGGGCAGCCAGAAAAGUCACUGUGCUUUGCUCUGCCUGUCAGGAAGUUAAGAGGAGAUAUGGGUAGUGAAAGAGGGGUUAUUAUGUAUGUUUGACUACAUUACAGCAGGAAUGAUACAGUGGGAGUGGUGGUGACUCAGGCUCUGAGCUCUGCUUCCUCCAUUCUGCUCCCCAACAGAGCCACUACACAAGGUGGACAUUUUCGAGGUAACAAUGGCAAGAUGUGGCAGCCAAGUUGGUGUGGCACUCUGCAGCUGCUCAGCUGCCAGGAGAGGUGUUGGUGCCACCCUCCAGCUCAACAGUGCCAAGAGAAGCGAGCUUCACUCCCAGUUCCCUCUGGUGGUGUAGAUUGCAACACUUGACAUCACAUUCACUGCAACCAUUUCAGAAUUUCAUCAAAUCCCUGGGUGACACCAACACCCAUGGCAGCCAAGCACACCCUGCACAGGCUGGUGGUUGUGUGGCACCAGAGGGGAACAGCAGCCCAGAAUGGACACCAGUGGGUGGCCCUGGGAGUGGGUGUUGGCUUGAGCAGCAGGGAGAGUAGGGAGUGUCAGCAUCUCAUGCAACACCUCACCAACAUGCAGACUGCAGCACUGGACCAGAUGCAGCAGGCAUAAGGUGUGCUGUCUCCGCUUCACCAUCCCAUGAACAGCCUACAAGAAUCUCGCUACCAACAUAUACUACUGCACCACUGGCAUCUGAUAAUCAAAUGGUGCUGCUUCCUUAGGCCUGACAUUCUCCAUUGCAAUCAUUGGGUCAAGUUUCAUAAGGAAGAGAGUAUAAGUGUUGGUACCUUCAAGCCAAGUGGUGUUAAAAAGUUUCAUCAGGAAGAGAGUACAAGUGUUGCUACGUUCCUGAUGAAACUUCUUAAAAACCUCUUCAAGUCUGACAAGGUUUUUAAGAAGUUUCAUCAGGAAGGAGAGUGCAGCAGGAAAAGUGUCUGGUAUGAGAGUUCUCUCUAAGGAAGAGUAAUUUCUGCAAGACUAGUGCGAGUCAGAGAGCAAGUCAAGAAUUUUAAGCAGGAGGAAGAAUGUCAUGCAGUUAACAGCAGGAAGUGCAUGAAAUUCCCUUCAAAUUGUGGUGGGAGUGACAAGCAAGACUUGCACAAGAGUUUCUGCCAGUUUCACCAGGAAGAGUUUGGCCUCAAGUUGACACAAAAUCAGCAAAUCUCACAACCUUCAGAUCUGGUAGAAGAGUUUUCCAUUCCAGUCUGGGAAGGAAGAAUGUAAGAAAUCCCUCUUCCAAGUACAGAUCAACAAGCAUCACUGUUUUCAGGCCUGAAACAAGGAAAAUAAAUGUCAUGUUUAUCCUAUUGUGUAUUUGUUAAUUUACUUACACUGUAAAAAUGUGAUAAAACAAUAAAUAUACUAUCAUGCACUUAUGGAA